AGCGAACGCUGGCGGCAGGCCUAACACAUGCAAGUCGAACGGACCCUUCGGGGUUAGUGGCGGACGGGUGAGUAACACGUGGGAACGUGCCUUUAGGUUCGGAAUAGCUCCUGGAAACGGGUGGUAAUGCCGAAUGUGCCCUUCGGGGGAAAGAUUUAUCGCCUUUCGAGCGGCCCGCGUCUGACUAGCUAGUUGGUGGUGUAACGGACCACCAAGGCGACGAUCAGUAGCUGGUCUGAGAGGAUGAUCAGCCACAUUGGACUGAGACACGGCCCAAACUCCUACGGGAGGCAGCAGUGGGGAAUCUUGCGCAAUGGGCGAAAGCCUGACGCAGCCAUGCCGCGUGAAUGAUGAGGGUCUUAGGAUUGUAAAAUUCUUUCACCGGGGACGAUAAUGACGGUACCCGGAGAAGAAGCCCCGGCUAACUUCGUGCCAGCCGCCGCCGUAACAC
rnacentral:rRNA from 1 species